rnacentral:snRNA from 1 species
AUACUUACCUGGCAGAGGAGACACUGUGAUUCCCAAGGCAGUUCUCCCAGGGAGAGGCUCACCCAUUGCAUUCCAGUUGUGCAGUGACCCCUGUGAUUGGGAAACUUGACUGCAUAAUUUAUGGUAGUGGGGGGAAAAAAGAAUAAAAAAAGAGUUCCUGACUCCUA